CAGUCUGGAGGACAGCAAUAACUGGAGCAGGAUCCAGUGGCUGGAAGCUGACAGACGACAGCUGGGAUUUGGAAGAAGGUCCUGACCAUUGGAGUGACUUCCAAGGCAGAUUAACCCACUCAGUUUCAGGCUAGGAAAACCUGCAAUAAGGAAGAAGUCCACACUGAGCUGACCCUGCUGAGCUGCUUGACCCCAUGGACAAAUGAGUGAUGAUGGAGCAUGGCACGCAUCUACGGACAUCUCUGGGCUGUCACAUGGAGCACUGGAAAGCAACUUUCUCCUGUAUCAGCCCUCCCAGGGCUUCUGGAUAUGGCCUCAGACAACAGGACUGUCUGCCUGCACUGCACAGCUCCACUGAUACUCUGAGCGAUGCCAAAGGUUUGCACCAGCAGCAGACGCCAACCGUCCAGGCAGAGGCGGAUGCGUUCUUCUUCUGUUCAAACAUUGGAGGAUGUGGCUUCGUUUUGCACAUAAGACUGCCUGUGGAGGGGCCUGAGGCAGGAAUAGAGCAGCUGUGGAGUGAACAGGACUGCAU